UUUUGCAAUUUUAGGUAUUACUUGUAUUUUAGGUAUUGUACACUUGUUAGUGUUGUACACUUGCUUCAUCUUGUUCACAGGUUAGUGUUGUACACUUGCUUGACUUGUGUAAUUAUGGGCUGGACUGAUUUUGUUCUGGGUUUGACAAAAUAGUAUAUUCGUAUUUCCAGAUGUUAUUUGUUCGUAUUUUAAGCACAUUCAUGCUGAGCAUUGACAUCACGACUUUGACCAAAUAAAAUUAUCAAACAAAUGUUUGUGUUAAUAAUCCUUUCAAUUAAGCAACUUUACCUUAUUGAGUAGUGAUCCAGACUGAUAAUUCAUUAGAGCCGAAGUUUCCAGAUGUUAUUUGUUGACAUAACAAAGUAUGAUCUUAUUAAACAAGAUAUCCGCCACUAAGGUGAAGAGGCCUACUCAAAUGUACCCUUGUCUGUCGAAUUAGGUUUCCAAAUCAGACGAUAUAGACGUUGGAGUAACAGUUGACAUUAGAUAGUGAAGGUUAACAAUGCCACAAUGUUUAGAUGAAUUUGCAGAAACUUAAGAUAAAAGUUAACAGGCAUACACAAAUUGAAUUUUGGUGUUCACAGAAUUCUUUGGUGAUCGCAAUAAUGGACUAGAUUUUUUUUUUUAAUUCUUUAUGCAGUAGUAGUUAUUGAAGAGGAAAACAACUUGUUCUUUCCAUUCAGUGUGUCUUUGGCAACAUCAAGUUAUUGCUGCUUGAUUUAUUUGAAGUUAGUUGAUAUGGAGCAGCUUUCUUUUAGCUAUGGUUUUCUCAAGUAUAUGUGUCAAUAUGUUGAUAAUUAUAACUGAAUUGUUGCAAUCCAUUUUGGUUAUUGAGAGGUUGCUGGAAAAUACUGCACGGUUUUUGAAGAGAUAUAAGGAAAACUACUUGGAUUAGUUGUAACCUUCUGUUUAAAAGAAUUAGUUACAAUUUCUUGAUGUGAAGUGUUUGCUUUUUUUUUUUCCGCUCUCGCUAAUCUUUGUGCAUCUUUUUCUCCUGCAAGGAUAUAAUAUAUAUAAUAUAGUUUAUUAGAAGUUCCAGAAAUGAUUAUUAAGUUAAACUACUUCAUUAAACAGAUCCUUACUUCAAUGUUUAAAAGGUUAAGGAGGGGUUUUUUGUGGACUUUAGAACUAAUAUUAAGACCAACAGUACCUUUAUCUCGACAAGUUGAACUAAUCAUCGAAAUAAAACUUCACAUAACUCAUAGGGAUGUUAAAGUAUUGAUUACACAUUUUCACUUAGGAAUUUAAGCUGUAAAAAAAAAAAAAGCAGAGGUAAAAACCAGGGAGCAAUUAAACACCAGAUUCGUGCUUAACAUGUAUGAAGAAAGAGCAAAACUAAUGGUAACUAAAAUAAAUUAUAUAGCAGCAGGACCAAAAAACGAAAAAAAAGGGAAAAUCACUCGACAUUAAAUCUAAACAGCAACAAAACUAUGAAUUACAAGCAAGACUAAAAUACUACAAACCAUAUCAAAACAAGACCUAAAACAAAGGAGUAAAAUUACCUUUUUCUGAGCAGCGACUGGAGCGACGAGCUUCGAGGAUCAAUUUUCACCACUGAACUUUGGACAACGAUAAGGUUCUACUUUGAGCCAGUAGAACCAAACAAUCGCAAAACAAAAUAGAACAAGAAUUCUAAACUUUUCCGACGAAUCGAGAAAUCUCCCUGUCAAGAUGAAAUUCUUGACUUUGAGUAAAAGAAAUCUCUGUCUUGUUUGGGGUCUGAUUGAAGGUCUUGAGAAUUGCUAGCUGCACUAUCUGUAUACGGUUGUGACGGUUAGUCACCCUAAUGUUCUUUGCAGGUGUAAUUAGUUUAAGAUCUUUAAUGCAUUUGAUGGAUAUUUUCUUGUUGGUAUACUGUUGACCCAAAUUUUUUCGAUUAUGUACGUUUUAUUUAGGAAAAAAUUCAGCUAGCAGUGAAUCAAAGUACUGUGGAUGAGUCUGAAAUUUCUCCCAAUGAUGUUGUGGGUAAGUUGCUAGGAAAAGAGCAUUCUGGGAGGGUAAGAUGUUUGGGAUUAGGAGCUACUCCAAGCACUCAUUUUAAACAAACAAAACCUCAUGUUGGUGGUAUUAGAAUUCCAAGUAAUGAUGUUGGAUGUUCUUCUUUCGGAUGUCAAGACAAGUACAAUAAAUUGUUGAAUACUCUCAAAGCCUACAUGAUAAUGAAGGAAGGGUCAAUACUAGAACAGUUUGCUGGGAUCUUUGGUUCACCUCCUGCAACGCCAAGUGACGCAGGUAGCAGCUAGCGGAUCCAUGGAUUCAAGAUUUUCUAGCUCUAGUAAUCAUGUAAUAUGAUUAGUUGACUAAAGUGGAUUUUGUGACGAUUUUAGUUGAUGACAUUUACUUGUCUUAUUAUUUUGUAUGCUUUAAUGGAAUGUUGAUAUUUCU